rnacentral:rRNA from 1 species
AACUUUCAACAACGGAUCUCAUGGUUCUGGCAUCGAUGAAGAACGCAGCGAAAUGCGAUAAGUAAUGUGAAUUGCAGAAUUCAGUGAAUCGUCGAAUCUUUGAACGCACAUUGCGCCCGCCAGUAUUCUGGCGGGCAUGCCUGUCCGAGCGUCAUUU